AGCGUUUUGAAUCCGUGCUGAGAUUUCGUCGGAGACCAACACAUUAGGGCUGAUCAGACUUCCGAGAUAAGUGAAGCU
rfam:Schistosoma mansoni, Puerto Rico, WGS project CABG01000000 data, contig: 0233